UAAUAAUAAACAUUUAAUGAAAUAGUUAAACUAAUUUGGUAACAUUUUAAUUGGUUUAAUUGCAUUUAAUAACUGUGUCUGACUUUUUAUGUCUGAUUUUUCAAAUAUUUUGCAUUACAUAAACAUUGACAUUUACAUAAUAUGUCUAGAAGAAAAAAAAAGUUUGAUUAGUAUUUUAAAACUUUUGUUCAACAGGAAGUCAAUUUUUUUAACUUCCUUUUUUUUAACUGGUAAAAACAGAGUAUUCAUUAAAAAUAAGUCAUUUGCCUGUUGUUAUAAUACUGUUGUUAUACCAACAUAAAUAAUGUGUCUGGCUUACUUAUUUUUGACUUGUAUAAAAAGAGCAACUUUUAUCAUUAUUAUUGAAGCCAUCUGCAAAAAGCUAAAGAUAAUGGCUAAAAGAGAAGUGUCAGCAGUAUGGAGUUAUUUCAAUGUUGCCCAUGGGCAACCAGAGGUUGCUGAAUGUAACAUAUGCAGUGUUGAAAUUAAAAGAGGAGCGACUGGUGCUCCUUCUGAAAAAUUUUUCAACAAAAUCAUUAUGGACUCAUUUGCAGUCAAAACACAAAGAUGAGCACUCUUCUGCAAGUGAAUCAAAAACUUUAGAAACUGAAAAAAAAAAAAAAAAAAAAAAAAGCAGCAUGAAGAAGAAAAAGGUAAAGUUUAUGUUUUAAACAAAAAGCUUGACACCAAACAGUUAACUCUUAAAGACUUUUUAGAAGGGCAUUUAAAAUGGAGAUAUGAUAAUCCUGACCAAGUUAAAGAAGAGCAAUUGUUGAUAUAUUGGCUUUGUGAUGCCUUAAAAUCAGUCUCAAAGUUCCUAAAAUUUAUAAACCAUCUGUCAAAAAAAUUUAAAGUACCAUCAGAAAAAAAUAUUAGAACAAAGCUUGUUCCAAACAUCAACAGAAGAGUUCAAUAUGCAGUAAUAUGCAGUUGAUCCUAGAUACAAAACUGCUGGUUUUCAAAACAAAAUUUUUUCUGAAAAAGCAAAUGAAAGUUUGUUGUACUUUAUGAUUAGUCAGCUAAGUAAAACUGAUGUUCAAGCAGAAUCGACCACUAGUAAUAUUAUUCGAGAAUCAACUACCGAACAGGUUUGCAAAUCGUCAUCAGUUAAAUCAAUGUGGAACAAAGUUUUAGUAGACAAUGAGUCCGAUAAUGAAGAAAGUGACACAUUUUAUCUAAAGGCAACCGAGUCUGCUAAAAUUGAGUUUUAAAAGUAUUCAAAAAUGAAGCAAAUAGAUAUUUCAAAAGAUCCAUUAUUAUAUUGGAGUCUCAUGAAAAGCGAGUUGUCAAGUUGCAAACUUGGCAAAAGUAUAUUUAUGUUCACCCUCAAGCUCAACAACAAGUGAGAGGGAGUUCAAGGUUUCAAAGAUAAUACAAAAAGAUCGCAUCAGACUUACAACACAGAAUGUUGAAACACUUCUUUUUUUAAAAUGCAAUUUAAGGGCUCUUUCUUAUUCAACAUAUUUAUGUGAUGCCCCUGAAGACUUUACACCACCUAAUUCAAAAUACUAUGAUGUCUGGGACACAGAAUCAUCAGAAUUAGAGAAAGAAACUUAAAUUAUUAUAAAGUGUCUUAUUACUUAUUUGUCAUUGUAAAUAUUUAUGAAUUAUAUUAUAUUUGUAUAUAUUACUUUUGUGACUUUUUCUUAUAUUUCCUUAAACUUUUACAAAAAAUUUUAACUUGACAAAAUUUAAAAAAAAAAAAGCAACAAAAACAACAACAAAAAUCCAGCCCCGGCUAGUAACCCCUGCAAAUUGUGUUUGUUUAGCCGGGGCCGGGUUUGCAAAAACCUCUGUUUUUAGCCUGGGCUGGGGACCCAGUCACUUACUAGUGGACUUUAUUAGAUAAAAAAUAGGUAAUAGGGCAUUUACAAAAAAAGAAGAUUUAAAGAAAACUUUUGUUAAAUCAUGGUUUAACAUUGACAUCAAAUCAAAUGUCAAGUAGAAUCAAUGCCUAAGCGCUUAUUAGAUGUAAAUAAAGCGAGGACCAAUUGUAAGCAAGGACCAACUAAUAUUAAAGUAUAUUAAUAAAUUACAAAAAUUUGAAACUGUUUCUCAGUUAUUUUAAUAAAUCUAGUAUUUUUUCUUAGCUUUAACCUAUAAAGUUUUUCUUGUACGGUUAUUUUAUGUGCAAGUGUUUUUAUUCCCUUCUUUUUGUUUCAAAUUCUUAACCAGGUAAUUCAAAAGCAUAAAAACAAAUUUAAUAAUUUUUUUGAAGGUUUUUUACCAAUUGAAUAAUUGGAGAGAUAAAAAGUUCUUUAUAAUUACUGCAUGGUACAGUAUUUUAUUUAAAGAUGUUAAUUU